rnacentral:rRNA from 1 species
CCAUGCGAGUCAUUGUAGUAAUACAAGGCAGACGGCUCAGUAACGCGUAGUCAAUCUACCCUAUAGACGGGGAUAACCUCGGGAAACUGAGAAUAAUACCCGAUAGAACAUUAUGCCUGGAAUGGUUUAUGUUUUAAAUGAUUUAUCGCUGUAGGAUGGGACUGCGGCCUAUCAGUUUGUUGGUGAGGUAAUGGCCCACCAAGACUAUUACAGGUACGGGCUCUGAGAGGAGUGGCCCGGAGAUGGGUACUGAGACACGGACCCAGGCCCUAUGGGGCGCAGCAGGCGAGAAAACUUUGCAAUGUGCGAAAGCACGACAAGGUUAAUCCGAGUGGUUUCUGCUUAAGAGACCUUUUGUUAGUUCUAGAAAUACUGACGAAUAAGGGGUGGGCAAGUUCUGGUGUCAGCCGCCGCGGUAAAACCAGCACCUCAAGUGGUCAGGAUGAUUAUUGGGCCUAAAGCAUCCGUAGCUUGCUAUGUAAGUUAUCGGUUAAAUCCAUACGCUUAACGUAUGGGCUGCCGGUAAUACUGCAUAGCUAGGGAGUGGGAGAGGUAGACGGUACUCGGUAGGAAGGGGUAAAAUCCUUUGAUCUAUUGAUGACCACCAGUGGCGAAGGCGGUCUACCAGAACACGUCCGACGGUGAGGGAUGAAAGCUGGGGGAGCAAACCGGAUUAGAUACCCGGGUAGUCCCAGCUGUAAACUAUGCAAACUCAGUGAUGCAUUGGCUUGUGGCCAAUGCAGUGCUGCAGGGAAGCCGUUAAGUUUGCCGCCUGGGAAGUACGUACGCAAGUAUGAAACUUAA